UACCACUUCAGCUGGAAGGCUAUUCCAUGCAUCCACCACCCUCUCAGUAAAGUAAUACUUCCUGAUAUUAUUUUUAAAGCUUUGUCCCUCUAAUUUAAGACUAUGUCCUCUUGUUGUGGUAGUUUUUCUUCUUUUAAAUAUAAUUCAUCACACUACCUUGUUAAAUAGGGGUUUAUCAUUUGUACCAACUCCUUCCUGCAAUAAAUUUAACUGGUCUAAGGAUGUCAACCUCUUUGGCAGGAAAUUGGC